rnacentral:rRNA from 1 species
UACAGAGGUCUCAAGCGUUGUUCGGAUUCAUUGGGCGUAAAGGGUGCGCAGGCGGCGAGGCAAGUCGGACGUGAAAUCUCGGGGCUUAACCCCGAAACUGCGUUCGAUACUGCCUUGCUUGAGGACUGGAGAGGAGACUGGAAUUCCUGGUGUAGCGGUGGAAUGCGCAGAUAUCAGGAGGAACACCGAUGGCGAAGGCAGAUCUCUGGGCCGUAACUGACGCUGAGGAGCGAAAGCGUGGGGAGCGAACAGG